rnacentral:lncRNA from 1 species
GAUUUUGGCACAUUGUCUUAUCAUUUGAGCAUAAAGAUGAUAAAGAAGGCAAGUGUCAUCCAGAGCAACACCAGAUCUUUCAGAUAAUUCACUAAACCCAGAGUUACAGUCAACCUUACUGCUGAUCUUUAAGUUUUCAAAAGAAUGUUAGUUCUAGGAAAUGUCAAUCCUAAUUUUUAUAAUUUCUAUUGCUACUCUUCUAUGUGAAGUGAUGACACUAAGGCCUUAAUUUUUUUAUUCCAGUGUUCAAUGAAAAAUUGGAAUUAUGUUAUGAAAUGAUGAAAUUUAAGAAAAUGGCGGGACAAUAUUUUGCUGUAAAGAUGCAGCAAGAUCAUUGGGAUCAACAGCAUAUCAGAACCUUCCUGCUGAGACCAACCCUGGGAUACUUGGCAUGGAAUGAUGUGGAUUUCCAUGGACUGGUCUCACUGCAUCUCAGAGAAGCUCCUGUGAACCUUGUGAAGACAGAUAAUGGGGUGUAACAGUAAGUAAGGCAAUAAAGGCUAAUAACGUGAGGUUUCUCA